UAUGUGCGUGUGUGUGUGUGUGUGUGUGUGUGUGUGUGUGUGUGUGUGUUUUGAAGAAGAGAGUGACGCAGAGAGGCACUCGAUCAGUGACUUGUACAGGGAGUGGUACACAACUUGUUUCCAGCGCAGACUGGUUCAAACCAACAUUUGAUAUGAGGAACUAAGCAUGAGGUGUACACUAGUUUCGGAUUAGUCAGCAUUGAUUCCGCCAUAAAAGGAACUGCCGCAAGCAUAUGUCACUAUUUGCUGUGUACUGGGUAACUGAAUUGAAACACGGCCAUGCUCCAGGGCAAAGAAAAAGGAAGAAAACAUCUCAGAUUCACUCAUGAUGGGAAUACGAUUCCACAGCGUCAAGAUGGAUUCCUGGCAUUCAACACAUUUGUUGUCUCCCAAUGUUCUUCUGCAGAUGUUCUUCCUGCAGGAGCAGUACUGAAAGUUAGCUGUAUUGUUUUUUGGGGUGGAUAAGUGUAUUGUGUAUGUCCUUGCUUGCGUACGCAAUGUGCUCUGGAAUCUUCUUUGCGUGUGUGUGUGUGUGUGUGUGUGUGUGUGUGUGUGUGUGUGUGUGUGUGUGUGUUAGUCUUGCGUCAGUGUUACGCAUUGUACCUAACCUGUCACCUGUCCGCCAAUCACAACGAGACCAUGCCACUUUCCCCACAUCCCAAGCAAGACUUUCCAAACAAUUUCUGCAUCACGGAUCACACCGUGCGUCACGACAACGAGCCAUCCUGCUAGCAUGACUGUUGGCAGCUGUACAAACACGCAUGGAAUUUCACACCACAGGUGAUAAAAUGUUGUUAACCUCAUGGGCUCUGUCGCUACAUUAUUACAAACACCUGCUCAUCUAAUGAUUUUCAGGACAAGAGAUGUAAACAGUAAGUCUGUGUUUACUUAUUGCUGCAAUGGCUACAUGUGUAUGGUGUAUGUACUGUAAGCCCUCCCUAAUGCUAGAAAACAUAAUUGGCAGUGGUGUUUUUGCCAUGACUGGGAACUCUCGUGCUUGUGUUAUUUUUCCGCGAAUGGCUUAGAUUGGUCAGUCGCCGGAGAGAGGAAUUCUUGGCCGGCUGUGAAUUGGCUAUUUUACUGUGAUAACAGUAGGUUGGCCAUGAAUAGGUUAAUUUAGUAUCAUGUAUAGGCAGGCGGGAAGCAGCUCUUUUGUCGUGAGUCGUGCACUAUGCCUGGUUCUUGCCUCGCUUCACCCCCUUCUGUCUCUUUUCACAAAGUUUCAAUUUGUUUUGUCGCGGAAAAUAGUCUGUUAACGGCAUUAUCAGCUGAACCCCCCCUCCCCCCAAGGGGCUUAUCAGGGACAUUCACCCAUUUCUGUUCUGCUUUGAAGGUUUGUGUAUCUCCACGGCAACAGGACACACUUUCAAAAGCAGCGUCGAUUACCGCUCUCUCCACUGAGUUCUUGCGUAAUCCGUGGCAAAAUAAUGCAAGGUGGCGAGCUGCCGGUCGCUGCAACAAUAAUUUGUCAGACAUUUUCACACACACACACGCACACACACACACACACACA